AACGAACGCUGGCGGCAUGCCUAACACAUGCAAGUCGAACGAGACCUUCGGGUCUAGUGGCGCACGGGUGCGUAACGCGUGGGAACCUGCCCUUAGGUUCGGAAUAACUCCCCGAAAGGGGUGCUAAUACCGGAUAAUGUCUUCGGACCAAAGAUUUAUCGCCUUUGUAUGGGCCCGCGUUGGAUUAGCUGGUUGGUAGGGUAAAAGCCUACCAAGGCGACGAUCCAUAGCUGGUCUGUGAGGAUGAUCAGCCACACUGGGACUGAGACACGGCCCAGACUCCUCCGGGAGGCAUCAGUGGAGAAUAUUGGAAAAUGGGCGAAAGCCUGAUCCAGCGAUGCCGCGUAAGUGAUGAAGGCCUUAGGGAAGUAAAGCUCUUUUACCCGUGAUGAUAAUGACAGUACCGGGAGAAUAAGCUCCGGCUAACUCCGUG
rnacentral:rRNA from 1 species